AAAAAAAGAAUAGAUUUGCCGUAGACAGUGGGUGCGUAAGCUUAAUUUCCCGCCGAGGUUUUAGAUAUAUUAUUUAGAAUGUUUAAGCCUCUGCGUCCGUCGAUACAGAGGCUUUUUAAAUGAUACG
rfam:Clostridium hiranonis DSM 13275 Scfld4 genomic scaffold, whole genome shotgun sequence.